rnacentral:rRNA from 1 species
UGGGGAAUCUUGCACAAUGGGCGAAAGCCUGAUGCAGCCAUGCCGCGUGAAUGAUGAAGGCCUUAGGGUUGUAAAAUUCUUUCGCCAGGGAUGAUAAUGACAGUACCUGGUAAAGAAGCCCCGGCUAACUUCGUGCCAGCAGCCGCGGUAAUACGAAGGGGGCUGGCGUUGUUCGGAAUUACUGGGCGUAAAGCGCACGUAGGCGGACUUUUAAGUCAGAUGUGAAAUCCCGGGGCUCAACCUCGGAACUGCAUUUGAAACUGGAAGUCUAGAGACCAGGAGAGGUUAGCGGAAUACCGAGUGUAGAGGUGAAAAUUCGUAGAUAUUCGGUGGAACACCAGUGGCGAAGGCGGCUAACUUGGACUAGUACUGACGCUGAGGUGCGAAAGUGUGGGGGAGCAAAACA